rnacentral:rRNA from 1 species
AAUGGCAGGUCAGCAUACUGCCGUGAAUAGUUCCCGGGCCUUGUACACACCGCCCGUCACACCAUGAGAGUUGGGAAUACCCGAAGCCUGUGAGCUAACUUAUAGAGGCAGCAGUCGAAGGUAGAAUCAAUGAUUGGGGUGAAGUCGUAACAAGGUACC